AAUAACUCGGGAUUUUAAUAAAAGUCGGGAUUUGGAGCGUGGAAAAGGGAAAGUUCAGCGUUUGGCAAAAUCAACUCAGGAUUUGCCAAAUUACAGGCGGAAAAUAUCGUGGGAUAACCUAUCUUCUUCAAAGAGAACAAGCCUGCGCGCCAUGAGUAUUCUCUUGAUGGUGUUCUGCUAAGUUUUCUAGUAAGAAAGACAGAGUGUAGAGACAUAUACAUACGCAAGGUCAAACUUUCUCACCUCCAUGCACCAAACGCCUUUCUUCCUCAAGCGCCUCUGACUUUUCGAUGACAGAAAAAGUAAACAAAAUAAAGCAGAGGAGAAGAAAAGACAAGCAAAAUAAUGACACUGAAGGAGAUGACAAAGCCUAUUUUCGAUGGAAUAUACAAAUGGAGCGUUCAUUAGCGGAUAUACUUAGAGAAGAACGUCAGAUCGGUCAUAAAGGAGAUGGUGGUUGGAAAGCAGUUGCUUAUAACACCGCUGCUACCAUAUUAUCUGCACAAUUUGAUAUUGAAGUAAGUGCUGAUAACAUAAGAAAUCGUGUUAAAACCUGGAAAAGAUUUAUGGUAUAGUCAGUGGUAUAUUAAGGAUUCAAUUGGGAUGCAACAAAGAAGAUGAUCAGUGUAGAUGAAGAUAAUGUUUGGGAUGAGUAUGUGAAGUCUCAUGAAGAUGCUAGAACUUUUCGAUUUAAAGUGAUUGCAAACU